rnacentral:rRNA from 1 species
UACGAAGGGGGCUAGCGUUGCUCGGAAUUACUGGGCGUAAAGCGCGCGUAGGCGGCUUCGCAAGUCGGGUGUGAAAUCCCCAAGCUCAACUUGGGAACUGCAUUCGAGACUGCGUUGCUAGAGUAUGGGAGAGGGAAGUGGAAUUUCAGGUGUAGCGGUGAAAUGCGUAGAUAUCUGAAGGAACAUCAGUGGCGAAAGCGACUUCCUGGACCAAUACUGACGCUCAUGUGCGAAAGCGUGGGGAGCAAACAGG